rnacentral:lncRNA from 1 species
GUUUAAAAUGCGCUAAAAUAAAUCAUUGCUAAUUGUUAAAAGAACAUCUAUUUCUAUAUAAGUUACAAGACGGUUAUUUAGCCACUGAUCAUUCAUUUUGUUACAUAGUUGACUUUUCACAACUUUCGCAGCAGAAAAAACAUGUUCAACACUUGUAGUUGUUAUUCACAAGAGCAAAACCAACUUCAAAAGUUUAUAAAUAUAACAAAUGUAUUGCACUUAUUUAUUUCGUCUGAGAAAGAUGUGUUUUGAUAUAGUUAUGUGUUUUAUUAUU